GAUGAACGCUAGCGAUAGGCUUAACACAUGCAAGUCGAGGGGCAGCAUGGUCUUAGCCUGCUAAGACUGAUGGCGACCGGCGCACGGGUGCGUAACGCGUAUGCAACUUGCCUCACAGAGGGGGAUAACCCGUCGAAAGACGGACUAAUACCGCGUACACUCCAUCUUGGGCAUCCAAGGUAGAGGAAAUGAAAUUCGCUGUGAGAUAGGCAUGCGUCCCAUUAGCUAGUUGGUGAGGUAACGGCUCACCAAGGCGACGAUGGGUAGGGGAACUGAGAGGUUGAACCCCCACACUGGUACUGAGACACGGACCAGACUCCUACGGGAGGCAGCAGUGAGGAAUAUUGGUCAAUGGGCGAGAGCCUGAACCAGCCAAGUCGCGUGAAGGAUGACUGUCUUAUGGAUGGUAAACUUCUUUUAUACGGGAAUAACAAGAGUCACGUGUGACUCCCUGCAUGUACCGUAUGAAUAAGCAUCGGCUAACUCCGUG
rnacentral:rRNA from 1 species